GUCUACGGCCAUACCACCCUGAACGAGCCUGAUCUCGUCUGAUCUUGGAAGCUAAGCAGGGUCGGACCUGGUUAGUACUUGGUUGGGAGAUCUAUCUGAAAAUAUUUUUUCCAGGAGUUC
ensembl:rRNA 5S_rRNA 5S ribosomal RNA